GUAAGGUAGGCAUACAGCUCAUCAGAGCUGCGGGGGGGCGGUGGGGAGAAGAAAGCACCGGCUAAGACAUGUUGAAAAUGGCAAACAACCCCAACAGCUGUGUCAACAUGACGGCUGAGCCCGCAGUCGCACAAACAUCAGACUGCCGGGACUACCUGCUGAUGACCUCAGAGGCGCUGAAAGUAAACAAGUACAAGAGUUGGAGGAAAUGAAAUAAAA